rnacentral:lncRNA from 1 species
UUGCCGUAGUGCAGGUGGGAUUGCCAGGUGCCAGGUGCCCCUACUGCAGCCUGCACGGAGGGGACCGUCAUUUUCAGACUGUCCUUUUAGCAGGACUUCAAUGUCAGGGCCUCCAAAGAAGUCUACAAAUUCCAUCAGUCAGUAACGGCUUGGAGUUCCAAAGCUUAUGACUCAAAGGUGAUCAGGGCAUGGACCUGGGGCUAGUCUGGAUUGGUAACUGCUAAACUUGGGAUACGUGGCUUCUGAUGGCCCUGCUGGGGAGACCAUGUGGAGAGAUGGCAUAGAGCCAGAGAUUCACAUUCCAGGAGCCCUGACUGUCUUAGUAUAUUUAUCCAUUGCUGCAUCUUCUUCUGCUUAGAUUAUAAUGUAUGUUUUUUAGCUCCAACUAGUAUCUAAACUUGUCAUGGUCUUUGCUUGAAAGUUUGAUUUUUCGCUGCCCUUGAACUUUACCCCUGAUUCCAAUUUACCCAUUUGUUUUGGUUUAGUUUAAGUAGAAGUUUUUAGCCACUAUGGAUGUUAGGAAGACCUGAAAUACAGAAUAGAGAGAUUCCAAUUUUUCUAGUGACAAUGAGUCCUGAGAAAGGUGACAAAAUCAGAAUAACCUUUGGAGAAAGAUAAAUGCUACUAUCAGUGGAAUGGGAUUCAGUCUUCAGCCUGUUGUAGUAAUUCAGUAAGCCCAUGUGGUCAUUGAGUGAACUCGCAUGGCCAAUACAAGGACUCUAACCACAAUUGAACUCUCUGCUUUCCAUCAGUCGCCCACCCUGUUGUGUACAAAGAAGCAGAUAUGCAAUAUAGCAGGAGCCCCAAGAAAAGGAUGCAUGAAGAUAUAUUGGACGGAACGUACCUCGUUUCCAAUGGUAAACCUUUAAAAAUGUUGUUGAAAGAAUCAGUACUGAAAGAUUACCUCAUACUUUACCAGCUUAUCAUAAUCCCUGUACAGU